UAGCUUGGGAAUCUGGCUUAUGGAGGGGGAUAACUACGGGAAACUGUAGCUAAUACCGCGUAGUAUCGAGAGAUGAAAGUGCGGGACCGCAAGGCCGCAUGCCAUGAGAUGAGCCCAAGUGGGAUUAGGUAGUUGGUGGGGUAAAGGCCUACCAAGCCUGCGAUCUCUAGCUGGUCUGAGAGGAUGGCCAGCCACACUGGAACUGAGACACGGCCCAG
rnacentral:rRNA from 1 species